GAUGAACGCUAGCUACAGGCUUAACACAUGCAAGUCGAGGGGAAACGAUAUUGGAAGCUUGCUUCCGAUAGGCGUCGACCGGCGCACGGGUGAGUAACGCGUAUCCAACCUGCCCACCACUUGGGGAUAACCUUGCGAAAGUAAGACUAAUACCCAAUGACGUCUCUAGAAGACAUCUGAAAGAGAUUAAAGAUUUAUCGGUGAUGGAUGGGGAUGCGUCUGAUUAGUUUGUUGGCGGGGUAACGGCCCACCAAGGCGACGAUCAGUAGGGGUUCUGAGAGGAAGGUCCCCCACAUUGGAACUGAGACACGGUCCAAACUCCUACGGGAGGCAGCAGUGAGGAAUAUUGGUCAAUGGGCGGAAGCCUGAACCAGCCAAGUAGCGUGAGGGAAGACUGCCCUACGGGUUGUAAACUGCUUUUAUGCGGGGAUAAAGUGGGGAUGCAUCCCUUUUUGCAGGUACCGCAUGAAUAAGGACCGGCUAAUUCCGUG
rnacentral:rRNA from 1 species